rnacentral:rRNA from 1 species
GUGAAAUCUAAUGGCUUAACCAUUAAACUGCUUGGGAAACUGAUAGUCUAGAGUGAGGGAGAGGCAGAUGGAAUUGGUGGUGUAGGGGUAAAAUCCGUAGAUAUCACCAAGAAUACCCAUUGCGAAGGCGAUCUGCUGGAACUCAACUGACGCUAAGGCGCGAAAGCGUGGGGAGCAAACAGGAUUAGAUACCCUGGUAGUCCACGCCCUAAACGAUGUACACUAGUUGUUGGGGUGCUAGUCAUCUCAGUAAUGCAGCUAACGCAUUAAGUGUACCGCCUGGGGAGUACGGUCGCAAGAUUAAAACUCAAAGGAAUAGACGGGGACCCGCACAAGCGGUGGAGCAUGUGGUUUAAUUCGAAGAUACGCGAAGAACCUUACCUGGGCUUGAUAUCCUAAGAACCUUUUAGAGAUAAGAGGGUGCUAGCUUGCUAGAACUUAGAGACAGGUGCUGCACGGCUGUCGUCAGCUCGUGUCGUGAGAUGUUGGGUUAAGUCCCGCAACGAGCGCAACCCACGUAUUUAGUUGCUAACGGUUCGGCCGAGCACUCUAAAUAGACUGCCUUCGUAAGGAGGAGGAAGGUGUGGACGACGUCAAGUCAUCAUGGCCCUUAUGCCCAGGGCGACACACGUGCUACAAUGGCAUAUACAAUGAGACGCAAUACCGCGAGGUGGAGCAAAUCUAUAAAAUAUGUCCCAGUUCGGAUUGUUCUCUGCAACUCGAGAGCAUGAAGCCGGAAUCGCUAGUAAUCGUAGAUCAGCCAUGCUACGGUGAAUACGUUCCCGGGUCUUGUACUCACCGCCCGUCACACCAUGGGAGUUGAUUUCACUCGAAGCCGGA